GUGAGCUUCAUGUCAUAUCAAUUUUUUUUGAAGCAAGCAGAUCUUGCGAUUUACUUAUGAUUUAUGAACAGAAAAUGUUUACUGUGUAACCCCUAAAUACAGUAGAAGAGAUUAGAGAAGCAGGUCUUAUAAAACUACGCUGAGACGAGUAGUACUUAUUUAGUCAAGUGACAUGUUAGAUAAAAUUCUACACCUAUUACAACUUAUCUGACUUCUGUAUUUUGUAAAGAUAGCUGAACUAGAUUGUGUUCCAGGAAUAAAAAACCAUGGAUGUUUUCCAUUUAUUCACUUGGCUUUUGGAAUUUGAUUGAUGUCCCCUUUCUCAUAUUAUUAACAACAUAUACCUACACGGUUCUCUCUACUGGUUUGCCAAAUUCUAGACACUUCUUGUGUGGUCCAUGCUUCCUCUUUGUACUAUGCUUACCUACAUUCGUAAUAUCACUCCUUUAUUCCCUUGACGUGCUUUUCCUUUACAAAGAAGAAUACACACCAUGGGGAAAAGAGAAGUAAAUUUGUAUUUGUAGUCUACAAACAGGGCGUCCUAAUUAUUUGUUCGAGCAUGCUACAGUCUUGUUUUCUCUGCCGUGUCUUCUCCUUUUCUUAGUAGUGUCACUACUGAUUGAUCUGCUCAGAUGUGCUAUUUAGAGUUUGAUCUGGAUAUAUACUAGCUAUUUUAUUAGGAGUUGGUGGUAAAGAUGAACUAAUGGUCGAUCCUCCCUGCUGUCCUCGCUGCACUUCAUGCAAAAUCACUGGGCCGGUACUGGGAGUACCUCAUUUAUGAUGGAUCUUAUACUUCAAAGCUUAUUUAUAUUGUCUAAUAUGUUUUAUUUGUACUAAUUUAGUAAAUUUAAUUUAUCUUUUGGCUUAAUAUGUCCAAGGUAUUGAUAUAGUAAUAUUUUGUUACCUGAUUAAAGCUCAAACAUACUGCUUCAGUAUCUCCCAGUAGGUGCCUCAGAAUUAUGCAGUUGAUCGUACCAUACUACUACUUGAAUAAAAAUGUUUAUCUUUGUGUUCUACACUGAAGCUAUCAUAUGAAGUUUAAUUAUUUUAAGCGUUCAUCACCAAAACUACUUUGUUGGUAGUGAAAGGCUUCAUAGAAUUUCAUAGAUGUUACACAUCAUGAGAUUAACCCGUAGAAGAAUGUAUUCAUAACCAUAUGACGUGUGUGAUGUUGGGUUAUAGCCGUUGUAUGCUGAAAGGCUUUUUCCCUUGCUUCCUUCCAUUUUCUUCUAUGUGCAUUGACUAGACGUAUGUUUUUACAAUGUGGCAUGGUUUGAGCAUUUUAAAUUCUUUACACGCUUCCAUUAUUUCCCGCCCCAUUUAUAUUGGUAUGUCCUUUAAAUAGCAGGCAGGUACAUGGCACAAUAUAACUCAGUGUUAGCUGGCUUAUAAUCUCUUAUCCCUUGAAAGACUUCAAAGAUGGCAUCUCAUGGGACAACACAAGAGACCAUAUAGUAAAGGAAAAGAUGCAAACACGAUAGGCAGGACCAAAAGUAUUUUUAAUGAGCCUGAAAAAUCAUAACGGAGACCGGUAUUGCUACAAUUAUUCAAAAGAUAAAUGGAUGAUUAUAUGGGUGUGUGGGCAAGCAUACUACUAUGAUGACGAUGAUGUUCGUGUUCAUGAUGAUGGAGACGGAUGCUUUCAGUUUUAGUAAAGUUGUAGGGAUGAUGUUCCUGUUGGACGAUGUUCCUCAAUUAUGUUUUAGUUAAUCUGUAGGGAUGUUGAUGCAUGGUUUCAAUUUAAGUUUCACCAUCAAGAGAACAUUUAUA